UACGUAGGGUGCGAGCGUUAAUCGGAAUUACUGGGCGUAAAGCGUGCGCAGGCGGCGCUCUAAGACAGGUGUGAAAUCCCCGAGCUUAACUUGGGAAUGGCGCUUGUGACUGGGGUGCUGGAGUGCGGAAGAGGGAGAUGGAAUUCCUGGUGUAGCAGUGAAAUGCGUAGAGAUCAGGAGGAACACCGAUGGCGAAGGCAGUCUCCUGGGCCAGCACUGACGCUCAUGCACGAAAGCGUGGGGAGCAAACAGG
rnacentral:rRNA from 1 species